UGCUAAUACCGGAUAACAACAGAUGAUGCCUAUCAACUGUUUAAAAGAUGGUUCUGCUAUCACUCUUGGAUGGACCUGCGGUGCAUUAGCUAGUUGGUAGGGUAACGGCCUACCAAGGCGAUGAUGCAUAGCCGAGUUGAGAGACUGAUCGGCCACAUUGGGACUGAGACACGGCCCAAACUCCUACGGGAGGCAGCAGCG
rnacentral:rRNA from 1 species